UGACACAUUGGAUUUGUGGCAUCUAAAAGUCUGGAUCAAGAUGGCAACCCAUUGUGCCACGCAUGCUGAAUCCUGCUUUCAGUGAGGAAGAGAAGGAAUUUCAUGGCCCAUACCAACAUCAAUUGUAUGCACAAAUUUAAAGAGGCACAUUCCACAAGUGCGUGUGUAUUGCUGUGUGUGUGUGGGUGUGAGUGUGUGCGGACACACUUGCCCAUGCACGUGUGCACUUUGCCCUUGCUUUGAGAGCCUGAUGUGCAGUGAGAGAAUUUCAAUCCAGUUUUUUGACCUUUCUGAGAAGUGAAAGGAAAACUGGGAGGGGGAAGUGUACACACCUGCAGUUUAUUUCCUUUAAAGAGAUGCCUUUAAGACAAUAGGGAUGAGAUAGAAGAGGAAAACUGCCCAUUUCCUGGGGAUUUGUUCUCAAUGCAUUUAAUACCCAGCCUCAGAUGUUGACAGUGAACUGUCACUGCUGAAAUGAAGAACGGUAUUUCCAAGGGGUCAUGGAACAGUACUGAAGAGCGAACAACUGUCAAUCAGAUGGGACCCUCCUGAACUAGGUAGCACUCAAAGCUCAUUGUGUGCAACUGAGGUCAACCACCAACCAACCAAGUGCUCUGUCCUGUUCGCACAAAGCUUUCCCUGAA